rnacentral:lncRNA from 1 species
CUCUGCUGUGCCAGAUGCCAGACUGGCAUCACCAACUCGGCUUCUCCAGGGGAGCAGCUGUUACACAGGGAGACAGUGACCCGCCAAGGCUCUCCAGCUGGUAGGCAACCGAGCUGGGACUCACAUCCCAGGCUAUCCUGGCCCUAGUGUGAACUUCCUCCCCUGUGUCAGCGCCGUCUGAGAUGCAGAGAUGGAAGCAAGGCUCCCGAUAUGAGUGUGGUUUUCAGGAAGGCUGGCUGGAUCCCGCCUGGGUAGGACAUUGAUGAGGACAGAGUCUUUCACCGAGGAAUGUUUUAAUAGCGAACAACACAAGGGCUUCUGGAGCCUGAGCGGUGGGAUUCCUUUUCGGCUAAUAGCAGGAAGAAAGAGCACUGUGUACAUCUCUCAUCAACCCGCUGCACGUGCAGAGUUCGGGAUCAUGUUCACAGCUCACAUGUUGUUCUGGCAGCCUGCAUGCAUUCCUCCCUGCUUCCCUCCCUUAAAGGAGCCAGGCACAGCAGAGUGGAACUUGAGCUCCACAAGAGAGUAAAACAUGAAAUGGCUAGUGGCCAUGCUUCUGGAAGUAUUGCCACUUCCUUUUCUAGAGAGUGGCUGAUGUCUGUCACUCAACACAUGUCGGAAGUCACUGGCAAACAUUCUUCAAGGAGCAUAUGUCUACCUCGGGAGAGAAAAAAAAAAAAAGAUGUGUACCUGAGAGAGUUAGACGUCGAGGCCAGAUCACGUGGAAUCAAGAGCUGAAGAUGCAUGCGAAGGUGUCUGAAUGGUUAAAGAGGAGCCUGGAGCUCGCUGGGAUGGGUAAGAGACGUCCCUGGAAGAAGGGGUCUCAGAAACUGGCCCGUAGAUGCAGUGCAGCUCUGAAAUAAUCUAAUACCAAAGAGAGGAAAUUGGAUAUUUGACACCGACUGUGGAAAAGCCUCAUUAGGGCAUGAAGAAGUCAAGGACUAUGGAUACCCCCUCUCUCUUUCUGUUGCUUCAUAUAUUAGACUUUACCUUUUCACUUCAGCUAGUAAGCUGUAAACUCACAGACUGGCCUCUCACACUUCACACCAUCCGUUGAGGGAACGCUUUAUACUCUCUGUCAUCUCUUGGAGAGGGGAAGGGAAUUGUAGUACUUACUGAAGAGAAAUGAGCGUUGAAAAGAAUGUGUUACGUUUCCUCCUAUUCCUUCCCUUUCUUCCCGACUGACUUGGCUGGAGAGCAUUAGAAGGGGCAGAGCAGGGUAAACAUCCGUGGUGCAGGACCAGAGAGUGAGCUUCCAUGUAUCAGGGCCAUAAAGGUUAGAUGGGCCCUACGUGUCAGUCAAGGCCUGGCAUGAGGGAUCAGUUCCCAUAGGGUGGAAGGCAUCUGAACAUACAGGUACGACAUGGAAGUGUCAGAGCCCAAGUCAGAUGACAAAGCCAUUCUUACAUGGAACACAUUGGUCCAUUUUGCUAUAAGGGAAUACCUGAGGCUGGUAAAUUUUAAAGAAAAGACAUUUACUUAGCUCGUGGUUCUGGAAGUCCAACUGCAUCAUCAUGGCUUUUCUGUUAAAAUCUGGGCUAGCUUUCUGGCUAGUCCCCAGUAUGGUGGACAGUAUAGUGGAUUCAUACCGAAAGCCAGAGAGUGUGGAGGUAUCAGUUUUUCUCUUUAGACUAGAACCCUCUAAGGAUUCCAUGAUAACUGCAUUAACCCCUCCCGAGAGCAUGAACCCAGUAAGCUAUUCACCUUUUACAAGACCUCAUCUCUUAAAUAUCCCAACUCUUCCUAAAUCCACCACAUUGUGACCAGGCUUCCAACACAUGACCCUUUGGGAUCAGGCCACAUCCAAACCAAGGCAAGGAGCAGGCAUCAGAGCCCAGGGAAGAGACUUUCUUAGCUGUGUGACCCCCCACUAUUGAACAACAGCAUUUUUUUUUUAAAUUUCUGCCUCUGCUUCAAUCCAUCAAAAGUUGAUUGUAUCUAUAUUUUUUAAAAAGCACAAAUUUACAAGCCUUUAGAACUGUUUUUGGAGAGAGGAUGGAACUAUUUAGAGUAUAUAGAGUAUAUAGAGUAUCAUGCAUGCCAGACUUCGAGAUAGUCUCUUUGCUAUAGGAAAGAAACGCCCCCCCCCAAAAAAAAAGAAAAAGAAAAAAAGAAAGAAAACACGCAGCUUUCCAGACACCCUCUAGAAUUUCAGGAAAUUGAGUUGACCAGAAUGAUCUGUGGAAUGUUCUAGCUUUACACAAAUCCACUGUGCAAACAUUUAGUGAUUACUAAGCACUGCAGGUGAGAUCCAUGUUCAGUGUUUGGUGGCCAUGACAAAAGCUUUCACCAUACAUGUACAUUUUUUUAGAGAGCCAACAUUAGUUACUUUUCUGUUGUUGGCUAAAGCAUGAUGACCUCACCAGCUUAUGGAACAAAGAGUUUAUCUGGGCUUAUAGCUCCAGUUUAAGCUUAUAGUUCCAGAGGGCUGAGUCCAUGAUGAAGGAGCAGAGGCAGGGCUACCAGAGUAGAUGUGGCAGCAAGGGCAGGAAGCUGAGAACUUCCUGAGGCUUUAAGGGCUCAAAGCCCACUCCCAGAAACAUGCUUCCUCCUGAACCUCCUCAAACAGAGCCACCAACUGGAGAACAUGUGUCCCAAUGGCCAAGACUUUGGGAGAUAUCAAUUAUUCAAACCACCAUGGAGGGCCUCACACAUGUAAGGCAAGUGCUAUGCCUCCCA